AGCCGUGUGGUAAGUACAAAGCGAACUAUUCUUUCGCCUUUUACUAAAGAAUACCGUGUGCUUGCCAUCUUAAACGGCAUACGUUUAUUUUUGGGAAAGGCUUCCUUCUCCGGAAGCC